rnacentral:rRNA from 1 species
CCUACGGGAGGCAGCAGUGGGGAAUAUUGCACAAUGGGCGAACGCCUGAUGCAGCAACGCCGCGUGAGCGAUGAAGGCCUUCGGGUCGUAAAGCUCUGUCCUCAAGGAAGCUAAUGACGGUACUUGAGGAGGAAGCCCCGGCUAACUACGUGCCAGCAGCCGCGGUAAUCCGUAGGGGGCUAGCGGUAUCCGGAAUUACUGGGCGUAAAGGGUGCGUAGGUGGGUUCUUAAGUCAGAGGUGAAAGGGUACGGCUCAACCGUAGUAAGCCUUUGAAACUGGGGAACUUGAGUGUAGGAGAGGAGAGUGGAAUUCGUGGUGUAGCGGUGAAAUGCAUAGAUAUCAGGAGGAACACCAGUUGCGAAGGCGGCUCUCUGGACUGUAACUGACACUGAGGCACGAAAGCGUGGGGAGCAAACAGGAUUAGAUACCCCAGUAGUC